rnacentral:rRNA from 1 species
GGGGAAUAUUGCACAAUGGGGGAAACCCUGAUGCAGCAACGCCGCGUGAAGGAUGAAGGUUUUCGGAUUGUAAACUUCUUUAGUCAGGGACGAAUAAAUGACGGUACCUGAAGAAUAAGCCACGGCUAACUACGUGCCAGCAGCCGCGGUAAUACGUAGGUGGCAAGCGUUGUCCGGAAUUACUGGGUGUAAAGGGCGUGUAGGCGGGAAUGUAAGUCAGAUGUGAAAUCCCAGAGCUUAACUCUGGAGCUGCAUCUGAAACUAUGUUUCUUGAGUGCCGGAGAGGAAAGCGGAAUUCCUAGUGUAGCGGUGAAAUGCGUAGAUAUUAGGAGGAACACCAGUGGCGAAGGCGGCUUUCUUGACGGUAACUGACGCUGAGGCGCGAAAGCGUGGGGAGCAAAC